AAUACUUUAAUGGUAACAAACUAUUUACUUAGAAAACAUUGAAUAUUUAACAAAAACCAUGAAACAGUGUGAUGGAACCCCGAGGCAAAGCUGCAAAGUACGACAUUAUGGAAGGAGAAAUAUCCUACGGUCAAUCCAGUGCCUAUAAUAUCAUAUAAAGCUCACGAGGUUUGACAUUUCAUCCUCGUAAAUGAAGCUAGGAUUAACAAGGAUUACAAGGUUAUCCAACAGGUGUUGAUUCGGAUCGAACACAAUGGGCAGUAAUUUGACAAUUUCCUCAAUAGGCUUGGCUAAUGUGAUUUCCGUGUCUUCGUCGCGCCUCUGUCACCGUCCAAUUAACAGGAGUUUCCUGCCAAAAACAUAAGAGUUUAAAAGCUGGCGUUAUCGAAUUUCCCCCCGUUUUCUGCCAGUCGUAAAUGUAUUACGUGCCACGUGAAACAGAAGUGUUGCAAAAAUAAGGAG